rnacentral:rRNA from 1 species
CAGUAGCCGCGGGAAUACGAAGGUCCCGAGCGUUGUUCGGAAUCACUGGGCGUAAAGGGAGCGUAGGCGGCGUGGUAAGUCAGAUGUGAAAUCCCGGGGCUCAACCCCGGAACUGCAUCCGAUACUGCCGUGCUAGAGGAUUGGAGAGGUAGCUGGAAUUCUUGGUGUAGCAGUGAAAUGCGUGGAGAUCAAGAGGAACACUCGUGGCGAAAGCGAGCUACUGGACAAUAUCUGACGCUGAGGCUCGAAGGCCAGGGUAGCGAAAGGGAUUAGAUACCCGUGUAGUCCCUGUCUCUUAUAC